GCAUACGUCAGAAUGUUUAUCCCAACUCACGAACACUCACCGAAGAGGAUUUCCAGAACGGCUUCGGAAAGUGACGAAAACAAUGGGGAGAGCACCACAAGGGUGAACAGCGGUGAGAGGCUGGAUGCAUGCUGAGUGCAGAAGUCUCAGCUCCAGCUUCCAAUGCAGGGCAGUGUGGUAGCAGCCAGGUUUCCGUCACUUCCGGCUGCUGUGAGGGUCCACGUGGAUGAAGAGCAGAAGCUGGGAAGCGCUGUCCUGUGCAGGAGGACGGAUGUGAGCAGAGGCGGCUGUGCCCAGGGAGCUGUGGGGAAUCUGAGAUCCGCUCAGAGUCUGCUCAGAGCUUGAGAACCUGCCAAACAGUUGCACCUGCUUGGUCUGCUCCAGAGUCUGGGAGAGAACACGAGGCUCCAAAUGGGCUCUGGGGAGCCAGGCUGUAACCCAGCAGGGAGAAGAACCAUUAAAGCCGUCUGAAAGUGAAACCAGCGGGGAGGCACAGGAGAGUCGUGUCUGGAGGUGUUGCAAAUAACUUUUAUAUCCAGAGAGUUCUGGAAAUUGUCACAAAUGCUACGCAGUGCACUUUGUUGUGUCCCCCUCCCAGGCUGUGCACUGAUAACGGCAUUAUGAUUGCAUGGAAUGGCAUUGAAAGAUUACGUGCUGGCUUGGGCAUUUUACACAACGUAGAAGGCAUCCGCUAUGAACCAAAGUAUGUGGUACCAUUUAUAAACUUUGUGCCAGUUACCUGGUAUAAGCCAAAGGCUGAAUUUUGCUUUUAUAAUGUGAGAUUUUCAUUGACAUUCUGAUGGUACUCGAAGGAAAGUUGCAUGAAUUUUUUUCAGGAACCUACUUGAGGUUGACAUGUUAUAAGAAAUAUUUUUGCUACAGAAUCAAACUAUAAAAUUUUUGACAAGUCACAAGUGAGUUAGGAACCAGCUCUGGGUAGGAGUGAUACAUUUCCUUUUUUGGGGGACCAGAAUAGAAACUAUCUCCAUAGCCUGGAUUUGUGCAGUGUCAAAAGGCUCUUAGAACUAGCUGGUAUGCUGGGGAACUUAAGGAAAACAUGCAGAAAGCGUUCAGGUAUGAGAUUGAGUUGUGACUAUGGUCUUAUAGGGGCAGCUGAGAAGUGCUCAAGCUGCUUCCUGCAAUCCUUA